AGCAAACUCUCACUUCUGGGUGCAUUUUCUAACUACUUUCAGCCACCCACAUAACUGCAAAUAUUGAAGGCCUUCCUUCUCGAGCAUUGACAGGAGGAUCCAAAAGCCUAUCCAUCAUUUCAAACUGAGCACUUUGAAAUGUUUGUGGAUAGUUUUCCAGACUGUACACAAAAGUGACUUCUGAUGGGCAGCCUUGAUUCACCAGGAAUGAAGUGUGGGGCCCUCAAAUCUCUAACAUUUCAGAAUUUCUCACUUAAGAGAAGAAAUCUCCAUGCCUUAGGUGGCAAAGACACAAAUCAACUUUAUCUUGGUAUCCGAUUUUGCCGGAUGCAUUUGCUUUGGUGUUUAUGUUCACAUUUUCCAUUCUAGACUUUGAGGCUUUGUAUGUAGGUGCUAAUUUCAAAAAACAUAUUUCAUCACUGACUACCUUUGUCCUUAAAAUAAACGGCAAUAACCUAAAAGCCAAGGUUACAAAGAGGUUUCAACUUGAGUUCUAAUUCUUGAGUAUGGGUGGCAAUACCUGGAGUCCUGGGCUAAGGAAGAUUUUGAAGCCAACACCAGACUCAGCAUCAGAAUGCAAUGAUUGAUUAGUGAUGUCUGCUGUGGGAAGGGGAAAAGUGGUGACAGGCUUUGGCCCUUCUUGGUUUUCCAGCUUACAUGAGGUUGAAUCUCUUAUAGGGAUUUAUACCUGAAGCUAAAGGAUGCACCCACAUGAAAGUAUUUAUUUAUUUUUUUUGUCUUUUUAGGGCUGCACCCAUGGCAUAUGGAGAUUCCCGGGCUAGGGGUCCAAUCAGACCUACAGCUGCCAGCCUACACCACAGCCACAGCAACACCAGAUCCGAGUCGCGUCCGAAACCUGCACCCUAGCUCAUGGCACUGCCAGAUCCUUAACCAAAUGAGUGAGACCAGGGAUCGAACCCACAAUCUCAUGGUUCCCAGUUAGAUUUGUUUCCUCUACACCACGAUGGGAACUCCAGCCCACAUGAAAUCCUCUUCUUUUUUUGUUUUUUGUCUUUUUUAGGUCCUCACCUGUGGCAUAUGGAGGUUCCCAGCUAGGGGUCCAAUCAGAGCUAUAGCUGCUGGCCUACAUCGCAGCCACAGCAAUGCAGGAUCUGAGCUUCAUCUGUGACCUACACCACAGCUCAUGGCAACACCGGAUCCUUAACCCACGGAGUGAGGCUAGGGAUUGAAUCCAAAUCCUCAUGGAUACUAGUUGCAUUUGCUACCCGUGAGCCAUGACAGGAACUCCCAUCCUGGAAAACUUAACAAUUCCUUUGGUGCUCACUUACCCACCCCUGUGGGAAAGGAUGUUUCUCUCUCUCCAGGACCUCCCACUCCCUGGGUCCCAUUAACAUUUAAGGAAAAAGUCUUAUUUAUGAAACAGAAACAAGCUCACAGAUCUCAAAACCCAUCUUAUGGUCACUCUAAGUGAAACCAUUGGGGGGGAGGGAAGAACUGGGGGAGUGGGAAUAACACACAACAUAACACUGCCAUAUAAAAUAGAUGAUAAACAAGAACCCCCUGUAUAGCACAAGGAAAUCUACUCAAUAGUUUGUCAUAACCUAUAUGGGAAAAAAGAAUGGAUAUAUUUAUUUGUAUAACUGUUUCACUUUGCUGUACACCUGAAACUGACACAAUAUUAUAUAUAAGUCAACUAUACUCCCAAAACUUUUUUUUUUAAUUUAGUUCACUCCCAAAUAAAGUAAAUCUAAAGCAGUAAUUUUCAACCAGAGGAGAUGCCCCUCCCUUCCCUGUCCCUGGAAGAGACAUUUUUUAUCAUUACAUGUGGGGGUUGGGAGGUUACCUGCUUCUAGUGGACAGAGGGCAGAGGAGCUGCGAAACCUCCUACAUAAGACAGUUCCCCAGCAAAGAACUACUGGACCCAGAACGUGGAUUUUGCUGAGUCUGAGAAAUACUGAAGCAGAUGAUUGAAAUUCAGGUCCCUGAGUGCCUGGUCCAACCUAUAACAAACCCUGAACUCAUGACUCACUAAGUGGAGAAUGCAGUUCUUCCAAGGAGAGGAAAAUGAACCCAGUUGUUGCUUUCGACCUAGGGAAAGUGCUAUCCUUAUGAUGUCUUAAUCAAAUUAGAGGAAAUCGUGCUUAUAAACUCCUACACCCUAGCAUUCCUGCAAAGCCAGACACAUGACUUACACCUUUUUAUAGGAGCACAUUAUCUGUGGCCACAUCAAAUCUGUCUGGGAGAUGUGGCCAGACGGGUAGCCUGCCAUUCCCCUCCCAACUAAGAAAGAUCAGGAUAAACAAAACCCUUCUCUGCCCCCUGCUUACUUACAAUAA
rnacentral:lncRNA from 1 species